GACAGCAGUCGCCGCGGUAAUACGUAGGGUGCAAGCGUUAUCCGGAAUUAUUGGGCGUAAAGAGCUCGUAGGCGGUUUGUCGCGUCUGCUGUGAAAACUGGAGGCUCAACCUCCAGCCUGCAGUGGGUACGGGCAGACUAGAGUGCGGUAGGGGAGAUUGGAAUUCCUGGUGUAGCGGUGGAAUGCGCAGAUAUCAGGAGGAACACCGAUGGCGAAGGCAGAUCUCUGGGCCGUAACUGACGCUGAGGAGCGAAAGCGUGGGGAGCGAACAGGAUUAGAGACCCCUGUAGUCCCUGUCUCUUAUAC
rnacentral:rRNA from 1 species